UGGGUGAUCUGCCCUGCACUCUGGGAUAAGCCUGGGAAACUGGGUCUAAUACCGGAUAGGACCACACACUUCAUGGUGAGUGGUGCAAAGCUUUUGCGGUGUGGGAUGAGCCCGCGGCCUAUCAGCUUGUUGGUGGGGUAAUGGCCCACCAAGGCGACGACGGGUAGCCGGCCUGAGAGGGUGACCGGCCACACUGGGACUGAGAUACGGCCCAGACUCCUACGGGAGGCAGCAGUGGGGAAUAUUGCACAAUGGGCGCAAGCCUGAUGCAGCGACGCCGCGUGAGGGAUGACGGCCUUCGGGUUGUAAACCUCUUUCAGUAGGGACGAAGCGAAAGUGACGGUACCUACAGAAGAAGGACCGGCCAACUACGUGCCAGCAGCCGCGGUAAUACGUAGGGUCCGAGCGUUGUCCGGAAUUACUGGGCGUAAAGAGCUCGUAGGUGGUUUGUCGCGUUGUUCGUGAAAACUCACAGCUUAACUGUGGGCGUGCGGGCGAUACGGGCAGACUAGAGUACUGCAGGGGAGACUGGAAUUCCUGGUGUAGCGGUGGAAUGCGCAGAUAUCAGGAGGAACACCGGUGGCGAAGGCGGGUCUCUGGGCAGUAACUGACGCUGAGGAGCGAAAGCGUGGGUAGCGAACAGGAUUAGAUACCCUGGUAGUCCACGCCGUAAACGGUGGGUACUAGGUGUGGGUUUCCUUCCUUGGGAUCCGUGCCGUAGCUAACGCAUUAAGUACCCCGCCUGGGGAGUACGGUCGCAAGACUAAAACUCAAAGGAAUUGACGGGGGCCCGCACAAGCGGCGGAGCAUGUGGAUUAAUUCGAUGCAACGCGAAGAACCUUACCUGGGUUUGACAUGCACAGGACGUACCUAGAGAUGGGAU
rnacentral:rRNA from 1 species